UGUCGUUGGUGACCAACGGAGGGAUCAUUA
rnacentral:rRNA from 1 species